UGCUCUGAUGAAAUCACUUAUAGAAAGUGCCAUCAGAAGUGAGACCUUGCUUUCUUUAAUAUCUAACU